UACGUAGGGUGCGAGCGUUAUUCGGAAUUACUGGGCGUAAAGCGUGCGCAGGCGGCUUUGUAAGCCCGGUGUGAAAUCCCCGGGCUUAACCUGGGAAUGGCAUUUGGGACUGCAAGGCUGGAGUGCGGCAGAGGAGACUGGAAUUCCUGGUGUAGCAGUGAAAUGCGUAGAUAUCAGGAGGAAUACCGAUGGCGAAGGCAGGUCUCUGGGCUGACACUGACGCUCAUGCACGAAAGCGUGGGGAGCAAACAGG
rnacentral:rRNA from 1 species